GCAGUCUGUUAACCCAAAGGAUACAUCACUAUACUGGGAUAAAAAGGAGAAUCACAUUUCCCCAUAAUCUCCAUUCUCAUGAGGAAGAGUUUCACAUUUCUCCAGGGAUUAAGGAAUUCAUUCCUUUACUCUGUACCAAGAAAUUACCUUGUUUAACUAACUUAACACGGAGACUGGACCUAGAUAGAAGAUCCCUUGGCUGGACUACAAAUUAAAAUGAUCUAAGCCAGGAUUGCCGUGGCGUCCUCCCAGAGUAAGCUAUCAAUCAAUUUAAGUCCAUACCUGACUCAAUGAGCCAUCAUGCUUGGCAGGACUUACCUCACAGAAACUACCGGUAUCAGUAGGGACAGCGAAGGGCACCUGACACACCCCAGCUAAGUUGUUAGUAGUUUGACUACUAACUCUGUAAAAGUUCCAGGGCACACCAUAACCACUACAGUAGGCUGCAGCGAUUAUGGUGCUUGGAAUGUUUCUUUACUGAGAAUCUUCUCCUAUAUAUAUAUAUAUAUAUAUAUUUAUAGAUAGAUAGAUGGAUAGAUAGAUUUCAUUCUACCAGAUUUUAAUAUGCACAAAGUUUCAGCAGACUAUUUCUGCCUUGGUGGUCACUACAAAUGCAGCAAUAUUAUAGAAACUGACGAUAAUAUGUCUGUAUGUAUAGCACUUUAACGUAAUUUAAUGUAACAUUUCUUAUUUGUUUCUGCAUUGUAGCAUUUUCUAUAUACUGUGGUGUAUAUAUAUAUAUAUGUACUGGCAUUGUAUGAUGAUGGCACUAUGGUCCCUCUUAUUGCUGUAUAGGUGAGCGACUCAAUGCUAAUUACACAAGCUUUUACCUUACAUAUUAUUGUAAUCAAUUACAUUAAGAAGCAAUUGGGAUGUCAGAGACCUGAAUGGGGAAAGAGUGCAUAGUCUUCCGUAGAAAAAUAUUCAGAUUAUUUUUGUUUCUUUUUACAUGUAAACCAGCUGUAACUAAAAUGCAUGCUUAUUGUCUGUAUAUACCAAGAGUAAGCCUACUGUCAAUAGAAGACUGCUCUAAUAAAAUCAUAAUAAACAGAACUACUAUUACAAUUAAAGGGACAGUCAGGUCAUAACGGGGGUGAAGCUAAAUUAUAAAGUGGAAAAUGCUCUUACAGAGAUUCUUGCCAUAGAGAGAUGGGUAUAGAAUGCCUGGUAGUGGAACGUUUGUUUAAAAUACAUUCCAUACGCUAUACAGACUCCCUCAGGUGCACUUUCCCUAAAUCACUAAGACAUAUCAUGGAACUUCUGUUAACAGGGCACUCUAAACACCAUAACCACUACA